CUUUAUGCAGUGUAGGUAAUAGAGAGAAAUACUACAGCAUGCUUGCUUCUCAAAGGGAUUAGCAUUGCUUGUGCUUCUCAGUGGCCUUUUCGGGGUCUGGAUGUCAUCAGAUGUAAAGAUCAUACUGUUAUCACAGACUUCUGAUCUAUUCAGCACAACCCCACAGACAACUGGGAGAGGCUGAAGCAGCUGCAGCAUGGGCACAGAACAGGCAGAAGCUAAGGGCAACGUCCUGCUCAGCUUGAGGUCAGAGGAUGCUGAAGAGCCUAGAAGAGUUGAGGCAGAAAGACACACAUAAUACUUGAGGAAUGAAAAGCAGCACUUUCUGCAGGAACAAUAACAGG